rnacentral:rRNA from 1 species
UGUUGGGUCAAGUCCCGCAACGAGCGCAACCCUCGCCUUUAGUUGCCAGCAUUCAGUUGGGCACUCUAAAGGGACUGCCGGUGUUAAACCGGAGGAAGGUGGGGAUGACGUCAAGUCCUCAUGGCCUUUAUGACCAGGGCUACACACGUACUACAAUGGCCGAUACAAAGGGCAGCGACACUGCGAGGUGAAGCCAAUCCCGUAAAAUCGGUCUCAGUCCGGAUUGGAGUCUGCAACUCGACUCCAUGAAGUUGGAAUCGCUAGUAAUCGUGGAUCAGCAUGCCACGGUGAAUACGUUCCCGGGCCUU